rnacentral:rRNA from 1 species
UGCGUAGGUGGGCAGGUAAGUCAGUGGUGAAAUCUUUGGGCUUAACCCGAAAACUGCCAUUGAUACUAUUUGUCUUGAAUAUUGUGGAGGUCAGCGGAAUAUGUCAUGUAGCGGUGAAAUGCUUAGAUAUGACAUAGAACACCAAUUGCGAAGGCAGCUGGCUACGCAUAUAUUGACACUGAUGCACGAAAGCGUGGGGAUCAAACAGGAUUAGAUACCCUGGUAGUCCACGCCCUAAACGAUGGAUACUCGACAUACGCGAUAUACUGUGUGUGUCUGAGCGAAAGCAUUAAGUAUCCCACCUGGGAAGUACGAUCGCAAGAUUGAA